rnacentral:rRNA from 1 species
CGACCUCUGAUCGGAAAAGAUCACCCGCUGAGUUUAAGCAUAUCACUAAGCGGAGGAAAAGAAACUAACGAGGAUUUCCC